rnacentral:rRNA from 1 species
AUGGCGGGCGCGGAUCCCGGCGAAAAGCCGCCGCCUCCUCCUGCCGCGGCGCCCGGCGGCGGCGACUCCUCCCUUCUCGGUGCAGGCGGGCGGAGUGGUUCGGAGACGGGGGUUCGGGGGCUUGUGGUUGGGGCGGAUCCUCCGCCGCAGGCGCAGCUGCGGCCGACGGGGAGGAGGGCGCCGCACGAUCGCGUCACCGGCGAGCAGGAAGAAUCGCGGCGCCCGACGCCGACGGCCUCGGUCACGGGACAGCGCGUGGGCGACGAUGCCAUCCCUUCUACGGCGGCGCUGCACGCCGUCACGGCCCGUUUUCUGGCGAACCUCCCCGUCGUCGACCAAGCUUCUUCUUCCGCGCCGGUCCCCGCGCGCCAGCCCAGCACGGAGGCGAUGCCGACAGCAUCGGAACUGCUCGACGUCCCCAAGUCCAAGGAGUGCCUACUCGACACGCGUCCCGGCUCGGAGGAUGCCCUCGUCUACAACUCGCUGCUCGGUGACGGGAGCGCAACCUCUGCACUCGCUCAAGUCUGCAGGAGGGCUUCGGUGUCGGUGCCGGGGAUGAGCGAGUCCGAGACGGGGGUUCGAGGCUUGGCGGCGGCGCCAACACCGGCACGUCUGUUGCCGUUCCAGUUCCUCCAGGCGAGGGGAUUCCGAUAUGAGUGGGAGGAGCCGGUGCCGGGGUCGUCGGCGGACCCGCCCUUCACACAGGUGAGGCCGCGCGGCGACGUCGGCGUGAUCGGCGACAGGAGGCCACGAAGGGGAGCCGCAGAUGUUCUAGGCUUGGAUUCUGCCGCGACGACGACCAUGGUGUCGCGAGCUCUGGGCGCGCAGCUGGAGCGGGCGCUGCAGCCGCACGGCGCAGUGGUGGGACGAAAGGGGUUCGUGCAACCUGACCGUGACCGCAGGCUCGCCCUCGCCUCCCAUGGGUGCCACAGCAGGGCACCCUCGCCGGCAAAUAACUUCGUCAUGAUCUCGCGAGCUGACGUUGAUCGCGGCUGGGCGGCACUUCAACAGGCGAUCAUCGAACGCGACAUGCUGAUCCGCCAGAACCACGACCUUGCUACGGCUCUCCAGGAAGCGGCCGGGCGUACCCAAGGUCUACAGCAAGAAUGUCUGUUGCUCCGCCAAGAGCUGCAACGGCACCAGACGCAGCGCGGCGGCGUGGCCGGCCAGCAUGAGUGCUGGGACUGCUUCUCCAGGCCAGCGGCGGUGGUGGCGGUUCCUUGCCUUCACAAGUGCCUCUGCCAUAGAUGCUACGUCAAGCGCCACUCGUGCCCCUUCUGCGGUCUUUGUUGGCUUAAUUCUUAG